rnacentral:rRNA from 1 species
GUGGAGCAAUCCAUGAGUAAAGUGGCGCACGGGUGAGUAACACGUGACUAACCUACCCUUGAGUGGGGGAUAACUGAGGGAAACCUUAGCUAAUACCGCAUAAUACCUACGGGUCAAAGGAGCAAUUCGCUCGAGGAGGGGGUCGCGGCCGAUUAGUUAGUUGGCGGGGUAAUGGCCCACCAAGACUAUGAUCGGUAUCCGGCCUGAGAGGGCGCACGGACACACUGGAACUGAAACACGGUCCAGACUCCUACGGGAGGCAGCAGUGGGGAAUUUUGCGCAAUGGGGGAAACCCUGACGCAGCAACGCCGCGUGGAGGAUGAAGUCCUUCGGGACGUAAACUCCUUUCGAUCGGGACGAUUAUGACGGUACCGGAAGAAGAAGCCCCGGCUAACUUCGUGCCAGCAGCCGCGGUAAUACGAGGGGGGCGAGCGUUGUUCGGAAUUAUUGGGCGUAAAGGGUGCGUAGGCGGUUUGGUAAGUCUGAUGUGAAAUCUAUGGGCUCAACUCAUAGUCUGCAUCGGAAACUGCCGGGCUUGAGUAUGGGAGAGGUGAGUGGAAUUCCUGGUGUAGCGGUGAAAUGCGUAGAUAUCAGGAGGAACACCUGUGGCGAAAGCGGCUCACUGGACCAUAACUGACGCUGAUGCACGAAAGCUAGGGGAGCAAACAGGAUUAGAUACCCUGGUAGUCCUAGCCCUAAACGAUGACUGCUUGGUGUG